rnacentral:rRNA from 1 species
GAUAAACGCUGGCGGCGUGCUUAACACAUGUAAGUCGAACGAAGUUUUUCCUUCGGGAGCAACUUAGUGGCGGACGGGUGAGUAACGCGUGGGUAACCUGCCCUGUACAGGGGGACAACAGCUGGAAACGGCUGCUAAUACCGCAUAAGCCCUUAGCACUGCAUGGUGCAUAGGGAAAAGGAGCAAUCCGGUACAGGAUGGACCCGCGUCUGAUUAGCCAGUUGGCAGGGUAACGGCCUACCAAAGCGACGAUCAGUAGCCGAUCUGAGAGGAUGUACGGCCACAUUGGGACUGAGACACGGCCCAGACUCCUACGGGAGGCAGCAGUGGGGAAUAUUGCACAAUGGAGGAAACUCUGAUGCAGCGACGCCGCGUGAGUGAAGAAGUAUUUCGGUAUGUAAAGCUCUAUCAGCAGGGAAGAAAAUGACGGUACCUGACUAAGAAGCACCGGCUAAAUACGUG